rnacentral:lncRNA from 1 species
GCCUAUGAUCUACCGUGUCGAUUCCAACUCAGAGAAUCUUUACAUCUGGAGAUCUACAGCAGGGCUAUCCCUAGUGACAUGCGUGAAGGAGCUUGGAAAUGGUGCUGGGUAGGAGCUGAGUGUGCAGAAUGUGGAAAGGCAUUCUAAACCUAAGGAAGAACAUGAGUAAAGAUGAUGAAGCAGGGAUAAGGCUAAAAUGAAAUAUGUGAUCUGAUCCACAUACAAACACAGCGUAGUACAGCUGGAAUAUAGAGAAGAGCUUGAGGACCCAUGAGCAACUAUCCCAGUACUCUUGGAGGCUCUGCCACCACAGUUUGAGAAACUCCGCAUUCAAAGUUAAAAACUGUCACCUGAAUAGUUAAUAACAUCAAAGAUUGUGAAAGCAAGUAUAAAUAACACAGAGAUUAAAAUAAUGAGGCAGGAUCAGAAACAAACAAGAAGGAAGAUCUCCCAUAGAUUUUCAAGGUGCUGAGAAAACAGCUUCUAGACAUAUCUCAAAAGCCAAGUUUCUGAGACGUAAUCAGAAAGUUGUGGCGGAAGGAAAUUUGAACCAGAAGACUGCAGUCCUGUCUAUGAACAUUAAACCUGUGUGGCUUAAGAAAUGAGUCUAACCUCUCUGAGCCUCAGUUUGUUCACCUAAAAGAUGGAGAUGAGAGCGCAUUUGUCUCAUUCUCAGGGGUUAUGGUGGCCAUCCAGACAUAAAGAAAUUAGAACGUUCAUUCACCUGCAGAUGCUCACACAUUCCUAC